rnacentral:snRNA from 1 species
GAAUGUGAAGGCGAGCUGGUUGAGACAUCUGUCACCCCCUUGAUCGGUGGAUCUGGAUGGCGAGGAGUGUGUGCCUGUCCUACCUCACUGCUCCAUGUACGCCUCUCCUGAAACUGCAGGCUUGCUGAAGAGGACGACCUUCCUCUUGGACCGUUCCUUGGUCAAGGGUACACGAAUACCUACGCUUGCCUACUAGGACCUCUGAACAAGUAGGAACACAUAGUAUUCAUGGUGUAGUGAGAUAGGGAAAAGGGUAACUGGGCUUGAGUU